rnacentral:rRNA from 1 species
UAGGGAAUCUUCCACAAUGGGCGAAAGCCUGAUGGAGCAACGCCGCGUGUGUGAUGAAGGCUUUCGGGUCGUAAAGCACUGUUGUAUGGGAAGGACAGCUAGAAUAGGAAAUGAUUUUAGUUUGACGGUACCAUACCAGAAAGGGACGGCUAAAUACGUGCUAG